rnacentral:rRNA from 1 species
AGCGAACGCUGGCGGCAGGCCUAACACAUGCAAGUCGAACGAACCUUUCGGGGUUAGUGGCGGACGGGUGAGUAACACGUGGGAACGUGCCUUUAGGUUCGGAAUAACUCAGGGAAACUUGUGCUAAUACCGAAUGUGCCCUUCGGGGGAAAGAUUAAUCGCCUUUAGAGCGGCCCGCGUCUGAUUAGCUAGUUGGUUGAGGUAAUGGCUCACCAAGGCGACGAUCAGUAGCUGGUCUGAGAGGAUGAUCAGCCACAUUGGGACUGAGACACGGCCCAAACUCCUACGGGAGGCAGCAGUGGGGAAUCUAGCGCAAUGGGCGAAAGCCUGACGCAGCCAUGCCGCGUGAAUGAUGAAGGUCGUAGGAUUGUAAAAUUCUUUCACCGGGGACGAUAAUGACGGUACCCGGAGAAGAAGCCCCGGCUAACUUCGUG